UACGUAGGUGGCAAGCGUUAUCCGGAAUUACUGGGCGUAAAGCGCACGCAGGUGGUUGUCUAAGACGGACGUGAAAGCUCCUGGCUUAACUGGGAGAGGUCGUUGGUGACUGGAUGACUUGAGGCGAGGAGAGGGGUGUAGAAUUCCCGGUGUAGUGGUGGAAUGCGUAGAGAUCGGGAGGAAUACCAGUGGCGAAAGCGGCACCCUGGCCUUGGCCUGACGCUCAGGUGCGAAAGCGUGGGGAGCGAAC
rnacentral:rRNA from 1 species